rnacentral:rRNA from 1 species
AUUGAACGCUGGCGGCAUGCUUUACACAUGCAAGUCGAACGGCAGCGCGGGGCAACCUGGCGGCGAGUGGCGAACGGGUGAGUAAUAUAUCGGAACGUACCCAAGAGUGGGGGAUAACGUAGCGAAAGUUACGCUAAUACCGCAUACGAUCUAUGGAUGAAAGCAGGGGAUCUUCGGACCUUGUGCUCCUGGAGCGGCCGAUAUCUGAUUAGCUAGUUGGUGAGGUAAAGGCUCACCAAGGCGACGAUCAGUAGCUGGUCUGAGAGGACGACCAGCCACACUGGAACUGAGACACGGUCCAGACUCCUACGGGAGGCAGCAGUGGGGAAUUUUGGACAAUGGGCGCAAGCCUGAUCCAGCAAUGCCGCGUGAGUGAAGAAGGCCUUCGGGUUGUAAAGCUCUUUUGUCAGGGACGAAACGGUUGGGGCUAAUAUCCUCGGCUAAUGACGGUACCUGAAGAAUAAGCACCGGCUAACUACGUGCCAGCAGCCGCAGUAACAC